AGGAACCUUUGUCCCAGUGAGAGAGGCUGAGGAGUACGUACCAAGGGACAGUUUGUGAGACUCUGGUAGGUCCGUGACUGAGGGCACCCUUGUGGGAUGCUGAGUGUAGCCAUCAGGAAGCUGGGUCCCAGCCAACUCAGCCUGGGCUCUGCCGUUCUCCAGUGGUCAGAUAAGAAAGAGCGGUGUGGUCCUCUAAGGGAGUGAGCGAGGACUGCAGCUGCUUUGAGCCCUGGCCAGAGCCUCCAAUCAACCUUUGGUUCUGAUAAAGACAAGAAACCCAAGUACAACCUGUAGAGCCAGAGGUGGGGGCCAGGAAGCCCUGUUCUAGUCUCUCUGCACAACCUUGAGCCAUCUCAUCAUCUGCACAUCUGCCUGAACCUCAGUCUCCCACUCUGGACGUUGUCGGGGUGAUGGAGCAAGCAUUCAGUUAUUCUCUGCUGGAUUCUGAUGUGGUCUAAAGUCCACACUUUGUUGUGAAACACCGCAAUCUGUGAUGUACAGAACCUAUUACUGCGGCCACCCAGGAAUGCUGGGGGCAGGCCUUUUGAGAAGGUGAAUCAGCGUGUGUUAGCUCAGGGCAGAGGGCCUGGCGGUGAGACGUGAGAACAGCCAAUGUCAUGGCGGUGGGGGAGUGGACGUGAGCCAUCUGGGGCCCAGCAAACAGCAUGUUGAAAAAAACGAGGAACUCAAAGGCAGAUGAGCCUACCACGCUGGGAACAGUUGGGAGUACAUUGCUCAAGCCCCGGCCAGUUUUAUGUCACUGCUGGUGUGAAGCAGUGAACAGUGACCCAGCAUGCAUCCAGGUGGCGGGACAGAGUCAGACUCUCCAGGGCAGAGAGACUCUAAAACUGACGGCCAGGUCUUGCUCAGACUACGGGCCUGAGGGAAGAUCCAAGACUGAAACAGGGCUUGGAAUGGAGGGGGUGGAGUUGAGGAGAUCACAGAGGACCUAGGAGUGUGUGUAUCGGAGAGAGAUAGGAAACCACUGACCGUUCAGCACACAUUCAGAAUUACUGCCUGUCCCAGGGAGGGACCCACAGCUCCGGCGCUCCGUUCAGCAUCUGGAAGAGCAUAGCUCGCUGUGAGCGGCCGCCCCAGAAGACUGUAUCCCACCCAGCCAGCUCUCCUGCCUGCUUGCCUCUGCCCCACACCAGGACACUUCAUACUGUCAGAACCACUGGGUGUGUGAGCUUGUGAGAGGGUGUGUGGGCACACAUGUCCCUGUGUGGGGUGUGGAGGUCAGAGGGCAACUUGGAGGAAUUGGUUCUCUCCUUCCACCACUGGGGCCCAGGAAUCAAGCCGAGGUUCCCAGACGUGGUAGCAGCCUCCCUUACCUGUUAAACCAGUGCUUCCCAGACUUCCUAAUGCUGUGACCUCAUGCUGUGCUGACCCCCGCCCAUGACAUUAUCUCUGUUGGUAUUUUAUAACUGUAAUUUUGCUACUAUUAUGAAUCACAAUGUAAAUGUCUGUUUUCUGAUGGUC
rnacentral:lncRNA from 1 species